UGCGCCAAAAUUGCAUGUGUCCGCUAUCUGACGAGUGCCAACUAUGAAAUCUUUGACAGGUUCACAUGGCAGCUGGCCGCGUGUAAAGAACUUGUAAGACUGCGCUAUCUUGUUUAGUUGCCGCGAAAAGUGCUGCUGCAACAAAGCUACCACUUCCCUCGAAACACAGAACCUCUUAAAAACUUCUUGAAAUGGCUACAAAGGGCUACAGACGUCUUGGUCUAUGAUAAGACUGAAAACAGAAUUUCUUCUAAGCAUAACCUCAGGACUUGGAAUAUGCUAGUAUAUAUUCUAUCUGCUGCAAAACCCACUACCGGUGUCACUAGAGUCUAUUUUGGUAAACACAUUCAGAAAGUCUAACUCAAGAACUUUUUUAGAUCUUUUUGUCUAAAAGCGCAUAAAAUGCCAAACGACGUGUUAAAAGUGCGGUUACCGUCGGCCGUCGGCGUUAGCGAAUAAAAGACUCCACAGAAAAAUCGAACUCGUUGGAAGCAACAUAAUAAGUUGGCUUUAAUGUUAAAUAAUUCGCACCAGAACUUCAACAAUCAAGGGCCUGUUAUUGUUUUCCAUACGGGGCGCGCACACGACGCCUGGAAACUGUUCUAUGCUCGCGUAGGUACUGACAGCAGCAAGAGCGAAACGCCAGUGUUGCAGUGACCACACGGUGUCACAGACCAAUGCGCAGAGCCACUGUGCUGCGAUCACUUCGGCGGCAGUCAAGUAGGCAAGCUCCAAAUUAGUCAGACAUCUCAUUCCGUGCUUAAAACACUGGGAGGCAGGAAGUUUGAAAAAACUGCCACUGCCGCCUGCAUUGUCUCGGUUGUGGGUUCGUUAUGCCAGUUGUGCGUCAUUCUAAGCCGUUCUGUACAUUUAUACUGGAUAUUAACUGGAGUCGUUUAGGUGUGCUGAUGCUGUUUGCCGUGUGUUUUGCAUCAGUGCUUCGUGACAUCGGCUGUAUUGCGUGUUUUCGCCGACGGCUUACUACCACAAUGGCGGGAUCUGCGUUCGCCGCCUUCGUGUCACGGUGCGUCUUUGUACGUCGCACGUUCGGAUAACACUUUUUCUGACGGCUGGACAUCCUUCUUGUACCUUGGCGCUAGCUGGAUGACGGGACCUUAUCAUGAUCAGUGUAUUGCUUGCCUCUGUCUACAAGAACCGUUACGCAUGGCCUGUAACAGCAAGCUUUUGUGGGCAACCAGUGCUCUCCUAUGAAGGCUGGCCUGCUGUGGCAGCGGCAGCAAUCAUCUUCAACAUUUAUCCAUUCUCACUUUUGGUGCUAUUUGUCACUCUUGUUAGUUACACUUUCUGCAUCUUUUCUAAUUUCUUAGCUAAUAAAGUAUGACUAUGUGA